GGCGGGCCUUGGCGACAUUUUAUAACAACCUGUACCGUAGAUCUUUCUGUGGUGCGUUCAUUGCUCUGUAUCUUUUGCGAUGAUACCUAAUUAUGAGAUGUCGAUCAUCGUAGCUUCGUCGAAAAGUAAGUACUUUUAUUUUACAAACUACAAAGUCGUAUUUUGAACAUACUAUAGAUGACUUUCUUUAUUUAUAGAUAGGACUAUUCCAUAUACAGUAACAUGUACCGGUGGUAACCCCCCUAUCGAGUUCAAGGUUUUACUAUAUGUACCCCUGAAAAAUUCCUACUGUAACAAAGUAUGUCCCAUGAUGGUUUCCUGUUAAUAGCAGUUACCACUUUAAAAAUAAUUCAGCAUUUACCUAUAGAAUUUGCCUUUGACCCCUGAUGAAAUCUCAUUGAAAAUACCCAACACCUGAAGAAUUCCAUAGCCAGGAUAAUUUGUUUACUUCUGAGAAAUUCCAGGGCCAAAAAGCAACUUACCCGAGAUGAAUUCCAAGUUCAUUGAUAUAAUGCCUCAUAGAGACUCAAAAAGGAUCGUGCACUGAUUUAUACUAUAUCUUAUAUAUCCCCGGGCGUUCUCACACGCUCCCGGGCGCUUCAGGGCGUCCCUGGGCACUCCUGGGCGUCCCCGGGCGCUCCGGGCAGUAUUUAGUACUCGUGACCGAUUAUAUAUAUACAUAUAUAUAUAUAUAUAUAUAACUACCGACGGUACCGUUCGGCCUUUAGGAUACCUAGUGUCCUUCACUAGGCUAGUGAGAGGUAUUCUGUACUUUUGCACUCGCC